rnacentral:rRNA from 1 species
AUUGAACGCUGGCGGCAGGCCUAACACAUGCAAGUCGAGCGGAUGAUGGGAGCUUGCUCCUGGAUUCAGCGGCGGACGGGUGAGUAAUACCUAGGAAUCUGCCUGGUAGUGGGGGACAACGUUUCGAAAGGAACGCUAAUACCGCAUACGUCCUACGGGAGAAAGCAGGGGACCUGCGGUCCUGGCGCUAUCAGAUGAGCCUAGGUCGGAUUAGCUUGUUGGUGAGGAAAUGGCUCACCAAGGCGACGAUCCGUAACUGGUCUGAGAGGAUGAUCAGUCACACUGGAACUGAGACACGGUCCAGACUCCUACGGGAGGCAGCAGUGGGGAAUAUUGGACAAUGGGCGAAAGCCUGAUCCAGCCAUGCCGCGUGUGUGAAGAAGGUCUUCGGAUUGUAGAGCACUUUAAGUUGGGAGGAAGGGUUGUAGAUUAAUACUCUGCAAUUUUGACGUUACCGACAGAAUAAGCACCGGCUAACUCUGUGCCAGCCGCCGCAGUAAUAC